rnacentral:tRNA from 1 species
CAGAUUAUAGCUUAUAUAUUAAAGCUUUUUAUUUACAUUAAUAGGAAAACUUAUAGUUUAUUCUGA